rnacentral:ncRNA from 1 species
CACGGGAGAGUCCCCCUGCCACCGCAGGGGGCGCCGAAGGGGCAAUUCCUCCCCGGAACCUCUCAGGCCACCGGACCGCGUGGG